rnacentral:lncRNA from 1 species
AAUGCUACAGAAGAGAGGGAAAGUAAAGUCUAAGAAAUGAAUACCAUCUAUCGUACAUUCUUUCUACCAUCGAGGCACAACUUUGCAACCAUCAACUCAAGACUAGUUUCGAGCAUCUCCUGUAGGGUCCAACAACACGUGCUCCUCUGGUACCUCUCUGAAUAUAACUCCUGUGGUGGCGAUCAAGUCUGGAUCUUCCAUCUGUGGGGGAAUGGAAAAAGAAGGGGUGAGAACCUAUAUGGUUCCCAGUAAGGCGGCAUCGUGAAAGCGCAUCUCUCUCGUGAAACCUAGAGUUUUGGCUCUAUCGUAAUAACUCGCUUACUAAGUCUCUCGGCUAUUUUUGUAUCGUGGGCUUUGACAUAACUCUUUCUUGGCAUCUUUCUUUGGGAUAAAUGCCGUUCUCACGCUAUUCUCUAUGACUAUUAU